ACUCCUACGGGAGGCAGCAGUGGGAAUAUUGGACAAUGGGCGAAAGCCUGAUCCAGCCAUGCCGCGUGUGUGAAGAAGGUCUUCGGAUUGUAAAGCACUUUAAGUUGGGAGGAAGGGUUGUAGAUUAAUACCUCUGCAAUUUUGACGUUACCGACAGAAUAAGCACCGGCUAACUCUGUGCCAGCAGCCGCGGUAAUACAGAGGGUGCAAGCGUUAAUCGGAAUUACUGGGCGUAAAGCGCGCGUAGGUGGUUUUGUUAAGUUGGAUGUGAAAUCCCCGGGGCUCAACCUGGGAACUGCAUCCAAAACUGGCAAGCUAGAGUAUGGUAGAGGGUGUGGAAUUUCCUGUGUAGCGGUGAAAUGCGUAGAUAUAGGAAGGAACACCAGUGGCGAAGGCGACCACCUGGACUGAUACUGACACUGAGGUGCGAAAGCGUGGGGAGCAAA
rnacentral:rRNA from 1 species